rnacentral:lncRNA from 1 species
GAUUCAAUACAGUAUAUUAUGGGAUUCUGUCCAAAAUUUUAUUUUGGUUUUACCUCAUCCAUCAAAACAUCUUUCUUGGACAAUCCCAUAAUAUCUGAUAGCCACAAGUUCAACUUCUAAUAUAGUGGAAAUGUUAUUUUUUUUUCUUUUUUUUUUUGGUCUACGUGUUUUUAUCUAUCAAGUUGUCUUUUUUAUGUUUCAGCCUACGUGUUUUUAGCUACCAACUUGAUAUUUUAGACAGACAAAAACUAAAUUAAAAAAUUAGUCCAGUACAAAAAUAGUAAAAGAAGUUAAAUAUAAGAUAAAUAUGCCAAAGCCCAAAAAAAUUUUGAGCAGCACUCCUACAAAACUUAGUUCCCUGUAUUUUUUAUCACCAUUCCACAAGAUAUAAGAUGAAGAGGUAAAGCACAUAUAUUUCUGCAAAUGAAGCAUAACUAAUUAUUUGUCAUAGCUUCCUUUUGAUAAGACCCAAUUAAUUACCAAAUAAGUUGACAGAGAACAAAGCUGAUAAAUGAAGCAGCUUAAAAUUGGAGUAGACACAUGGUUUUCAAAUGUAAGUUUUUGAUCCUUACGUUAUGGGUGACCAAAUAGAAAAUUCUAUCACCCAACGACCCUUCAAUUCUGAUAUAACCCUAUAUCUAUAAAUAUCCAAUUCGUGAUUUCAUCGGGAACAAGCUGAAAAUUUGACAAAAAUUACCUUAAAAACAGAAGGAGAAAUUGUGCAGCUAGCGAAUCGAACAUCAAUUUCAAUUCUUCCAGUUUUUCUCGGUGAAUGUGCUUUCAGACAUAUGAUUAUCUUGG